rnacentral:RNase_P_RNA from 1 species
GGCAGAGGGAGCCCGGUUCCCGCGGUGGACGCGGCCUCGCCGCGUCGUACGGUGUCGGCCUCGCCGGCACCCACGUGAGGAAAGUCCCCCCACCGUUCGGGCAGGCGACCGGGCGCAAGCCCGGAGUGGGAGACCACUGGCUCUGGAACAGAAACGAGACCCCUCCGCGCGACCGAUGAGGUGCGCGAACCGACCCGCGAGGGAAGGGAGUUGACCCACCGAGGGCUCGACCGCGGAGAAGGGAUGGAACGGCGAAUCCUCGCCGGUGCAAGUCCGCGCCACUAUGGUAGCCCGGACGCCCGCCAGACGGCGGGCCUCCGUGGCGUUCGGCGACGCCGUCGGAGUUCUCCGGCGGACCGCCGGACGCCCGGAGACGGUGCGGACGCUCAGCCGAAUGCCGGGCCGAACAGAAGGGGGCUUACUCCCCUCAGCC